rnacentral:rRNA from 1 species
ACGAACGCUGGCGGCGUGCCUAAUACAUGCAAGUAGAACGCACAGUUUAUACCGUAGCUUGCUACACCAUAGACUGUGAGUUGCGAACGGGUGAGUAACGCGUAGGUAACCUGCCUGGUAGCGGGGGAUAACUAUUGGAAACGAUAGCUAAUACCGCAUAAUAUUGAUUAUUGCAUGAUAAUUGAUUGAAAGAUGCUAUUGCAUCACUACCAGAUGGACCUGCGUUGUAUUAGCUAGUAGGUGAGGUAACGGCUCACCUAGGCGACGAUACAUAGCCGACCUGAGAGGGUGAUCGGCCACACUGGGACUGAGACACGGCCCAGACUCCUACGGGAGGCAGCAGUAGGGAAUCUUCGGCAAUGGACGAAAGUCUGACCGAGCAACGCCGCGUGAGUGAAGAAGGUUUUCGGAUCGUAAAGCUCUGUUGUAAGAGAAGAACGGGUGUGAGAGUGGAAAGUUCACACUGUGACGGUAUCUUACCAGAAAGGGACGGCUAACUACGU